GAUAAAACCAGUGUUGAAGUUAACACAUUAAGUACUCCGCCUGAGUAGUACGUACGCAAGUAUGAAACUUAAAGGAAUUGACGGGACUCCGCACAAGCGGUGGAUCAUGUUGUUUAAUUCGAAGGUACCCGAAAAACCUCACCAGGUCUUGACAUGCUUUUGCAAAGCUGUAGAAAUACAGUGGAGGUUAUCAGAAGCACAGGUGGUGCAUGGUUGUCGUCAGCUCGUGUCGUGAGAUGUUGGGUUAAGUCCCGCAACGGGCGCAACCCUUGUUGUUAAUUGCCAUCAUUAAGUUGGGGACUUUAGCAAGACUGCCAAUGAUAAAUUGGAGGAAGGUGGGGACGACGUCAAAUCAUCAUGCCCCUUAUGACCUGGGCUACAAACGUGAUACAAUGGCUGUUACAAAGGGUAGCUAAAGCGUAAGCUUCUGGCGAAUCUCAAAAAAGCAGUCUCAGUUCGGAUUGAAGUCUGCAACUCGACUUCAUGAAGUUGGAAUCGCUAGUAAUCGCGAAUCAGCAUGUCGCGGUGAAUACGUUCUCGGGGUUUGUACACACCGCCCGUCAAACCACGAAAGUUGGCAAUACCCAAAGCCGGUGGCCUAACUUGAGCAAUCAAGAAGGAGCCGUCUAAGGUAGGGUUGAUGAUUGGGGUUAAGUCGUAACAAGGUAUCCCUACCGGAAGGUGGGGAUGGAUCACCUCCUUUCU
rnacentral:rRNA from 1 species